AGCGCCAGCGGCCACCUGGGGUGCGCAGGGCAGUCAGAUCGUGGGGGCCGGCGCCCUCGCCCGCGCAGGUGGAGACCAGGCCCCGACGCCGGGGCCGCGAGCGUCCGGCAGCGCGGCGGAGGAUGCGGGAGCGCAUGUGGGCGCCGCUGUCGCUGCUGCUGGCUCUUCUGCUGCCGCCGCCGCUGUGGGGCGGCCCCCCGGACCGCGCGCUCCCGGAGCGGCAGCCCGAGCCCGGGCCUCUGCAGCCCUUCGACCUGCUCUACGCCAGCGGCGUGGCCGCCUACUACCGCGGGGACUACGAGAGAGCCGUGCGCGACUUGGAGGUAGCUCUGCGCAGCCACCGGCGCCUGCGGGAGAUCCGCGCGCGCUGCGCCCGCUACUGCGCCGCGCGCCGCCCUCUCGCGCCCCCGGGGGUCGGGCCCGGGGCCGAGCUGCCCUUCUUCCGUGCCUUGCUGGAGAGGGCGCGCUGCUACCGCGGCUGCCAGACCCAGCGCCUCGGGGGACCCGCGUCCCGCCACCGCGUCAGCGAGGAUGUGCGCAGCGACUUCCAGCGCAGAGUGCCCUACAACUACCUGCAGCGGGCCUACAUCAAGCUUAACCAGUUGGAAAAGGCAGUGCAAGCAGCCCACACAUUUUUCAUGGCCAACCCUGAGCACAUGGAAAUACAGCAGAACAUCGAGAAUUACAGGACAAUGGCCAGCACCGAACAACUCCAGUUGGUAGACCAAGAAGCCAGACCACACCUGGAGAGCUAUGGUGCAGGAGUGAAACAUUAUGAGGCUGAUGACUUUGAGCUAGCUAUCAAGUACUUUGAGCAAGCUUUAAGGGAAUAUUUCAACGAAGACAUGGAAUGCAGAGCCUUGUGUGAAGGGCCUCAGAGAUUUGAAGAGUAUGAAUACUUAGGAUAUAAAGCUGGUCUCUAUGAAGCCAUUGCAGAUCACUACAUGCAGGUGCUGGUCUGUCAGCAUGAGUGUGUGAGGGAACUAGCCACCCGCCCUGGCCGCCUCUCCCCAAUUGAGAACUUUCUUCCCCUGCAUUAUGACUACCUACAGUUUGCCUACUAUCAAGUUGGCGAGUAUGUGAGAGCUUUGGAGUGUGCCAAGGCCUACCUCCUGCUCCAUCCGGACGAUGAGGAUGUCCUGGACAAUGUGGAUCAUUAUGAGAGCCUCCUGGACGAUGGUACUGACCCAGGAUCCGUUGAGGCCAGAGAGGAUUUGACAGUGUUUGUGAAACGUCAUAAACUGGAAUCAGAGCUAAUAAAAUCAGCUGCAGAGGGCCUAGGAUUUUCAUACACUGAACCGAAUUAUUGGAUCCGUUAUGGAGGACGGCAGGAUGAGAAUCGGGUCCCUUCAGGAGUGAACGUGGAGGGUGCAGAAGUUCAUGGAUUGUCAAUGGGGAAAAAAUCAUCACCUAAGAUAGACCGAGACCUCAGAGAAGGUGGUCCUCUGCCCUAUGAGAACAUCACGCUCGUCUAUGACUCGCAACAGCUGAACGGGACUCAGCGGGUUCUCCUGGACAAUGUCCUGUCAGAAGAGCAGUGCCGGGAGCUCCACAGUGUGGCCAGCGGAAUCAUGCUUGUAGGAGAUGGAUACAGAGGAAAAACGUCACCCCACACACCCAAUGAAAAGUUUGAAGGUGCCACUGUCCUGAAAGCACUCAAAUUUGGGUAUGAAGGCCGAGUCCCACUGAAGAGUGCCCGUCUGUUUUAUGACAUCAGCGAGAAGGCUCGAAAGAUUGUAGAAUCCUAUUUCAUGUUGAACACAACCCUGUAUUUCUCCUAUACACACAUGGUCUGCCGAACUGCCCUGUCUGGUCAACAGGAUAGAAGAAAUGACCUCAGUCAUCCCAUCCAUGCUGACAACUGCCUGUUGGAUCCAGAGGCAAACGAAUGCUGGAAGGAGCCUCCUGCUUACACAUUCCGGGACUAUAGCGCUCUCCUAUAUAUGAAUGAUGACUUUGAAGGAGGAGAAUUCAUAUUCACCGAGAUGGAUGCCAAGACUGUGACUGUAGGCCUCUAUAAAACCAAAGUGUGGGCGUAUGAUUAGUUUCUCAUCUGGAGGAGAGAACCCACAUGGGGUAAAGGCUGUCACCAAGGGCCAGAGGUGUGCUGUGGCGCUGUGGUUUACCUUGGACCCACUUUAUAGAGAACUGGAGCGAAUACAGGCCGAUGAAGUGAUCACAAUCUUAGAUCAAGAACAGCAAGGGAAGCACCAACUGAAUAUCAACCCCAAAGAUGAGCUGUAAAAUGAGAGUGUUCUAUUAUCAGAUAUUUAUUUAAAUUGUUAAUCUUAUGAGAACCUUUUUAUUUUUGUACAGAGCCAUGGUAUAAAUUAACAGGUUAACCUGAGUCACCCUUCUGUCCUUCUGUCCCUAAGGAUGCUUGCUUUGCCUCACUCUGUCCUGGUAUUUCAAUUCAUCUCUCAAAGCCUGGUCACCCACUCCACCCUGCAAAAACACACACACACACACACACACACACACACACACACACACACACACACGCACACGUGUACUUCAUUUGCUCCUAGUGUGGGAUUUGGAGUCAGGGCCUUCUGGCUCUGUGCUCCAGGAAGGGCUGCCCUAUGACUUUUCUCUUUAAACGGGGGUUGAAGAAUGAUUCUUUACCACAGUGACUUUGGAAGAAAAUCUGUAAUCCCACCUGAAUCAGGACUCCAUCAUCACACUGUGUGAGAGUGGGGUUCACUGGAGAGAAGGAUCAUUUUGUAAGAAAAAUGGACUUCUGAUGGGCUCCAGUCUUCAUCUGCCUGUGUUUUGCCGACCCCUCCUCUUGCUCCUGUCCAGCACAUGGAUUCAUGCUUGUGUCGUAUUUGUUUAAUACAGGGAGGCUUAUUUUACUAUCCGGCAUUUAUCUUCCUUCUCCCAAACUUUUGGUUUAUCUUGGGAAAUGGCUUUUUGGUCCCACAGGUGCUUUGGGGACAGCCCAGAGACAACACUGGCCUAUGGUGAGUUUUGCUGGCAGUUGCUCCAGGGCUGCAGGAAGGCGGGAGAACUGCUUUCGAAGGAACAGAUGGUUAGCAAACAGAGGGGUUAAAUCCAGAGAGCCUCUGGUCCUUGCUGCAGUUCUAAGGAAGACACGGCACAGACAUUGUUUGGGGUAUGACUGGGGUGGUUCUAGCCUAGGGGAGCCUGCACCACCAACGAGGGGGGAUCACCUGCCUCUGCGAUGGGCAGUAGUAGAGGUAGAGGCCCUUAAGAGAACCAGCAAAUCAAAACAUUUCUGAAAAAUCACAUUUCCUUUCUGCCAUUUAUGAUCAUGUUUAGCGGUAAGAACAUUCAGUCUUUGACACUGAGAAACUGAUUCAUAGAGAUUUAUGUGCCACCUGUUUCCACCCGACCUUUGGUUGCCUUUUCAUCAUGGGAGAAUGGAAAGAGCACUCGGGUUAUGAUCCCGGCCUGAUCAGAUGUGCCCUGCUGUGUGACUGGAGCUACUCUCUUUCCCUUUCUGGGCGUCGGUUUCCUCUUCUGAAAAUGACAUAAUGGGUUGUAAUUGUUUCCAAAAGCCCUCCUGCCUCUUGCUCCAUAAACAAAACAAAGCAAAUAAAACAAAAACAAAACUGA